AGCCCGGCCGGCCGCGGGCUGCUGCCGCCGGUUGCGCUCGCUGCGGGCCGGCUGCGCGAGAGCUGCCUGUUUGUCCAGGUUGCAGGCUCUAUGGCUCGUGAGGCAGCGCUUAGAAGAACAGUCGCUUGGAGCUGUGGGCUACGCGAGCCUGCAGCUCUGCUUUUGGUUCGGCUACAUCUGCUUUGGCUCUGGGCUUUGGAUCAGAGGAUGAAAGGAGUUGAGCAGCAGAGGUCUCUCCUUCCAGAUGUAGUGACUGCUGUAGCAAGCUGAGGAGUAGAAUGAUCUACAGCUAUCAGUCAGUAAGCUUGAUUCUCAAGAUCACCUUUGCCAGUUCCUGUGCUUUAUUAUCUACGUGCUAAUUGAACUCAGCAAAGAAAUUGCAUUUUUUUAGUAGAGUAUAUGAUGCUGUUCUUUGGUUCCACUCUGGUCAUCUACUGCAUUAUAUUUCCACUGCACUGUCUGCUAGUCUGUAGUGCUGCACAAGUUUUGGAAGUGUAAUUAAUACCAAUCUCUUAAGCUUGAACUUGAAGACCAUUAAAAGAGUUACUUU
rnacentral:lncRNA from 7 species